AUUUUACUGAUGGGAGCUUCCUUUUACUUUAGCCGCAUCACACUACUGAACCUUGCUUUGCUUCACUGUGGCUGUGAGUGGAGACUACAGAUACAUUAGAGGAAUUAUUGGAGUAAAGACUCAUGGAGGACAACAGUUAUGAAUUAUUUUGUGGAACUGAGGAGUUUAUUAUGAUUUUUAUGGCAUUAAACUUUGUAUUGGAGAAUUAUUUAGAGGAUGUUUUAUCUUUGGUGGAUUAGAGCUCUGACAUUUGUGAUGAGAUUUUAGAUUA